rnacentral:rRNA from 1 species
UCGAGGAUCUUUUGCAAUGCCCGACAGGGUGACAAUGCGACGCCGCGUGAGUGAUGAAGGCCUUCGGGUUGUAAAGCUCUGUCAGCAGGGAGGAAUCCUCAGGUACGAAUAAUACCUGAGAUUGACUGUACCUGCAGAGGAAGUCACGGCUAACUCUGUGCCAGCAGCCGCGGUAAUACAGAGGUGGCAAACGUUGUUCGGAUUCACUGGGUGUAAAGGACAGGUAGGCGUCCUAUUAAGUCGGUUGUGAAAUCCCAUGGCUCACCCAUGGAACUGCGACCGAUACUGGUAGGAUUGAGUACGUGAGAGGUAAGCGGAAUUCCACAAGUAACGGUGAAAUGUGUAGAUAUGUGGAGGAACACCAUUAGCGAAGGCGGCUUACUGGUACGAAACUGACGCUGAACUGUGAAAGCUAGGGGAGCAAACA